rnacentral:rRNA from 1 species
UCCAGACUCCUACGGGAGGCAGCAGUGGGGAAUAUUGCACAAUGGGGGAAACCCUGACGCAGCAACGCCGCGUGAUCGAGACGCCCUUCGGGGUGUAAAGAUCUGUCAGUGGGGACGAAACUUGACGGUACCCACAGAGGAAGCACCGGCUAACUACGUGCCAGCAGCCGCGGUAAUACGUAGGGGGCAAGCGUUAUCCGGAUUUACUGAGUGUAAAGGGAGCGUAGACGGCAGCGCAAGUCUGGAGUGAAAUGCCGGGGCCCAACCCCGGAACUGCUUUGGAAACUGUGCAGCUGGAGUGCAGGAGAGGUAAGCGGAAUUCCUAGUGUAGCGGUGAAAUGCGUAGAUAUUAGGAGGAACACCAGUGGCGAAGGCGGCUUACUGGACUGUAACUGACGUUGAGGCUCGAAAGCGUGGGGAGCAAACAGGAUUAGAUACCCGAGUA